GCGGCAAAAAGCAAACGGGUUGUUUUGUAAAGCGAUGAGCAGAAAGUCUGUACAUUACUGCUGCAUGAAAUCCAAAUGAUUUACAGACAGGGAAAGUAAAUAAGGGAAGGAUCAUGUGAUUCAGUGUACUUUCUCUGCUGAAUAUAAAAUGUUCUUGUACAAAAAAAAAUACACUACCGUUCAAAAGUUUGGGGUCACCCAGACAAUUUCAUGUUUUCCAUGAAAACUCACUUUUAUUCAUGUGCUAACAUAACUGCACAAGGGGUUUUCUAAUCAUCAAUGAGCCUUUCAACACCAUUAGCUAACACAAUGUAGCAUUAGAACACAGGAGUGAUGGUUGCUGGAAAUGUUCCUCUGUACCCCUAUGGAGAUAUUCCGUUAAAAAUCAGCUGUUUCCAGCUACAAUAGUCAUUUACCACAUUAACAAUGUCUACACUGGAUUUAUCAUUCAUUUAAUGUUAUCUCCAUUGAAAAAAACUAUUUUUCUCUCAAAAACAAGAACAUUUCUAAGUGACCCUGAACUUUUGAACAGCAGUGUAUGUAAUUUUAUUUCCUGACUGAACUCAGAUGUUUAAACAGCUGCUCCAGAGGUAGGCAGCACAUCCAGGCAAUCAUGGUCUUCUGGAACUCCUUAUUGGUUGAAAUGGAUCAUGAUGCAGGUCAAACUUCCAUUGGACUGUCAUCAACUUUCUCUAAGAUGUUAAUCUACUAUUUUCCGAUGAACUAUGCUGGUUUUUCUUGGUUACAGUGAACACUGGCACAAUUCUCCAUCUGUUACAAAUGUGGGCCACAUCAAAUCCAACUGUGACACGCAGACUUCAUAAGAUGAUAAAUUGUAUUUGAUAUGCUUAAUAUUACAUCAAAGUUAGUCUAUUACACAAGAAUUCUCUGACCAGAUCUGUUAAAAUAAAACACAUGAUGGACCAGAGAAUGUACAGUGAAAGCUGCAGACCUGGUCUGAUAUGUGAAGACAUGUAGAA